rnacentral:tRNA from 1 species
GCCCAGGUGGCGGAAUGGUAGACGCGCUCGUUUCAGGUGCGAGGGCUGAGAGGCGUGCAGGUUCGAGUCCUGUUCUGGGCA